UACGUAGGGGGCAAGCGUUGUCCGGAUUUACUGGGCGUAAAGAGCUCGUAGGCGGUCAGUCGCGUCUGCUGUGAAAACUCGGGGCUUAACUCCGGGCCUGCAGUGGGUACGGGCUGACUAGAGUGCGGUAGGGGAGACUGGAAUUCCUGGUGUAGCGGUGAAAUGCGCAGAUAUCAGGAGGAACACCGGUGGCGAAGGCGGGUCUCUGGGCCGUAACUGACGCUGAGGAGCGCAAGCGUGGGGAGCGAACAGG
rnacentral:rRNA from 1 species